rnacentral:tRNA from 1 species
CGGGCUGUAGCUUAGUCUGGUAAAGCGCGUGGUUUGGGACCACGAGACCGCGGGUUCAAAUCCCGCCGGCCCGACCA